CGCACCUUUCAAGCGCACCAUCGCCAAACCACUUUGCACCGCACCUUCUAGAUUUGUUACUCAAAUUUUGUUAAUUUGCUACAUGCUACUUUCCCCAUUUACCAUUAGGAUUUGGUAGCAGCGGAACUGAAAAGGUCAGGUCAAAGAGAGGGGAUGGAGUUGGAGAAGGUAAAAGGGAACAGCCAUACCGGAGCGGCCGCCGGGGCAGAGGAGGUCGAGCAGGUUGCGGAACCACUUCAUCUCCAAAUCGAGGUGCACCCUCCCGUCGCCGAUGUUGAAACCCCUGUCGCGGAAGAAGUCCGGGCCGAGCGCCGUGGCGCCGCCCACCGCGAAGUUGGCCCCGCACGCGAAGUCCUCCGCGCGCCGCCCGCUCAGGAUAAAUUGAUGGAACGAUCCAUCGAUCGGCAUGUGUAGCGUACCGAUGAAGUCGAGGAUGAGGCGGCCGUUGGAGAAGCGCCCGGUGGCGCGGCGGAAGAAUGUCUCGCCGUAGGGCGGCCGGAGCGCGGGCUCGCCGGAGUUGUUGCCGUAGUAGAAGGGGAAGUUGCCCGUGUCGGCCAGCGAGUCCCCGAAGCUGAACAAGCGCGGGUAGCACGCCGCCGCCGGCUCCGCCCCAGCAAGUACCAUUAGCAAAACAGCCGCCGCCGCAGGUGAGGUCACCCUUCUUCCUGCUCUCCCCGGGGCAGAGGAAGCCAUGGCCUCUCUUUCCCGGGGGGUCUCCUCGGUCCGCGCUGUUCGAGGUGGAGGCGGCCGUAGAAGAAAUUGAACCCAAUUUUCGAGAAGUUUGAUUUGGGGAAGGAAAGAAGAAGGCUACCCCCUCUGCUUUUAUAAAUGCAAAAUAGGCAAAAUUAUCUCGGAACUUUUGACAAAGGGUCAAAUUCGUCAUUGUACUUUUAUUUGGGCAAAUUUAAUCCUCCAACUAUCGAGUUCGUCCGUGUACUUUUGUUUGGGCCAAUUUAGUCCUCUAACUGUCAAAUUUGGGUUCAGUUAGGUUCCUUCUCCAAACUGCCGUCAAUAACACUGUUAAAUCAGCAAACGUGACAUGUAAAAUGACUCAUUUGCCCUUCUUCCAGUAUCCUUUCCCCACCGAAAAAAAAAGACGGCGCACCGCUUCCCUUCACCCUAAUGUAUCUGCAAAAUCAGCAUGUCUUUUUGUGUAGUCUGCUUUUCAGCAAAUUCUUCAUGUACCUUGUACCUGUAUGCCGUGCACAAGAAAGAGUGUCUUAAUUUUUAA